GGGGAUGUAGCUCAGUGGUGUAGCACCUGUCUGGCAAGCAGGAGGUCCUGAGUUCAAUUCCCGGUACCA
rnacentral:tRNA from 1 species